rnacentral:lncRNA from 1 species
ACUCUUCCUCGACUGCGUAGGAAGCAAGCUAACAAUUGCUUCCACCAUGACUCUUUGCUUCUUUAUUAAGUCUAAAUCCGGUAAGCUUCCUUUCAUCACAUUGGGAUCUCUAGCCAAGAGGCCUUGAAGAGAAGUUUGCGCAUAGUUGAUCAGAAUUUUGCUGAUCAUGUCCUGUUUCAGCCCCUUCGACUUGACUGCAGAUAGGACUCGUUGGAAGAAAUCAAGAUUAAGCACGGCGAGUGAUUUGCCCCACCAAUCGGAAGGCGUUUCUGGCUCUACCACUUUCCCCUGGAAGUUAUGGUCAAGCUUGGAGAGGCCGGAGGUGAGCUG